rnacentral:rRNA from 1 species
CAAUAGCGUAUAUUAACGUUGUUGCAGUUAAAAAGCUCGUAGUUGGAUUUCUGGAGGGAGCGUCGGCCCGUAUUUACGAGUGCGUGACGUCUCUGUCCAUCCUUGCGGGAAGGCACGGCAUUGAUUUGUUGUGUCGGAUCGCAUCAUUUACUGUGAAAAAUUAGAGUGUUCAAAGCAGGCUUUCGCUUGAAUACAUUAGCAUGGAAUAAUAAGAUAGGACUUUGGUGCUAUUUUGUUGGUUGAGCCUAAAGUAAUGAUUAAUAGGGAUAGUUGGGGGCACCUGUAUUGCGUUGUCAGAGGUGAAAUUCUUGGAUUUACGCAAGACAAACAGCUGCGAAAGCGUCUGCCAAGGAUGUUUUCAUUA